UACAGAGGUCCCAAGCGUUGUUCGGAUUCAUUGGGCGUAAAGGGUGCGUAGGUGGCGCUGUAAGUCGGGUGUGAAAUUUCGGAGCUUAACUCCGAAACUGCAUUCGAUACUGCGGUGCUCGAGGACUGGAGAGGAGACUGGAAUUCAUGGUGUAGCAGUGAAAUGCGUAGAGAUCAUGAGGAAGACCAGUGGCGAAGGCGGGUCUCUGGACAGUUCCUGACACUGAGCACGAAGGCCAGGGGAGCAAACGGG
rnacentral:rRNA from 1 species